AUUCAUUGUUUUACACAACCACUUUUGGAAUCUAAUACCUUUUAUAUUCUCUUUUCAGUUUAACCAGAAACCUCAAGGGACUAAAGACUCCAUUCAAGGUUUCAUCAUCUUCACGUCAUGGAAGAGCAUCACUUGAAAUCAAGACGUCUUCGCUUGGAGCCUACCUGUUUCACGUUCAAGUUAUUCAUGUUGUUUCUACCAUUAUCUUACUAUGGAAUUUUACUAGUUGUUCUAUUAUUAUCCUACUUUGAGAUCUUGUGAUGUCGCAUUCUUUAAGAGGAAAUUAUGUCAUAUGUCACGCCUCUUAUACUC